GGGAGGAGGGAAAGCCAUUUACCUGAUCCCCUGGGGCCGCGUCUGCUUCUCAGAAAAGGUGUGCCAUGAAAUCAAGUCACCUGAGCCUUGUGGGGGCUGCAGCUUAGGGGCACGUAGAGGAAAGUGGAGCAGAGAGGAAGGCUGGGGUGAAUUCACAGUCACUUCUGUGUCCAGGGCCCUCUCGCCCUUUACAAUGCAGUCAAACACUUGUCAGACUGAACAACAGCCACCUCUGCAGGUCCUCCUUAAAACGUGAAAUUGCCCAGGCUCCCAUCCGAGGUUCACACCAACAGCAUGUGCCUUUCUUUUUUCCCCUCUCCAUUCACUCACUGCAAGGAUAGCUCGAUGGUUUAUAGAACAGGGUAACACUCGCUUGCUGCACAUUUGGAUCACUUCAGCCAAAGGUUUGUUGCUGCAUUAAUUAGCUUCAGAGAAAACAUUGCCUUCACUUAAACUGUUUGAAUACCUCUUGUUGAAUCAUAGGCUUGACUCAAGUGUUAUUAAUUCAAGAAUCAAAAUGCCUUUUGUCCAUAUCAGAUAAACGUUGCCAUAGCAAGUGUAGCAUAAACAGAUCUGUUCAAGCCACAACAACCUACAGAAACCCACAAAGGAGGACCAGUUUUGCCUUCACAGAAGCCCUCGUGUUGCAUUAAAUGCUACCUUCUGGCCUUGUGUACAGCCAGAGAGACCAAGUACUGUACUGAUGAAUGGACUCAGGGUCCCGCCGAGCCUGGGGAGAAGCCUUUAUUGUUGAAUAAUGCUAACAGGUGGUCCACUUCCUCUCCUAUUGAGAACUACUAUCCAGUACAUGAGGACAUCAAACAACGCUCCAGGGCCUGGUCCACCGAGAGGAACAUCACAGAAGCUGAUUCCACUGAAUGA
rnacentral:lncRNA from 1 species